UUUUGCCCUUAAACACUUCUAGUCAUGGUGCAUUUUUACAACUAUAGGCAUAUGUUAACAAAAAUCAAUCAGAUGAAGUACUGCGUGCCUACUAUGUGUGAAGCACAGGAAUUAUGGAGAAGAGGAAGGACCAACAACCUUGAAGCCAUUUUACUUCUUUGCUCAUUAAUGUCUACCAUGUAUGAUGGGAAAAGAAGGACCCUGGUGGUGGGACCUGCUUGCUGUGGCUGGUGGCUAAAGUUUUGAGUCCAUUGCAAAUGCCCAGAUACUCCAAGACCAGUGAAUGAGGAAGUGAUGAAAAGCUGCUGCUGGAAGAGGUCUUCAACGAUCUGAAAACGCUUCCACUGGCAGUGCCUGCACCACGUUCAGAGGCAGCAGUGGGUAGGCCAUAACACUGGGGCAGAAGUGAAUUCAGAAGCUUGGCUGACCGAUGAGGCCAUCUUGCACAACCAGACCCAUUUCCAAAGAGGCCAAAGUUACUUUGUUGGGUCAGAUAAAACCCAGGCAACUAAAGGGAAGCAUGAGGGCAGGACCUGGGCAGUUGAGAUGGUGGACAGCCCAAAUGAUCCACACCCACAGGUCAAAUCCCAGCAUCUGUCUACAGCCACCCUGAGACUCCAAGAACAGAAACAGAACUGUGUUCAAAAAGCAAUUCACUUAAUCUUGUCAAGCGUCAGCUUCGAUGUCUACAGAAUGUUAGCUCCUAGUGGGUAGGGACUGUUUCUACUUUUUAAUUGUUUCUCCAUCACUUACCACUACACCUGGCACAUAGUGAGGACUCAAUAAAUCUUUAUUGAUUGAUUGGCUAAUCUAUAAA
rnacentral:lncRNA from 1 species